rnacentral:rRNA from 1 species
CCUACGGGGGGCUGCAGUAAGGAAUAUUGGUCAAUGGACGCAAGUCUGAACCAGCCAUGCCGCGUGGAGGAUGAAGGUCCUCUGGACUGUAAACUUCUUUUAUUUGGGAAGAAACUCCCGAUUUCCAUCGGGAUUGACGGUACCAGAUGAAUAAGCACCGGCUAACUCCGUGCCAGCAGCCGCGGUAAUACGGAGGGUGCAAGCGCUAGCCGGAUUCACUGGGCGUAGGGGGUGCGGUAAGGCAGAGGUGAAAUCUCCGGGCUUAACCCGGGAACUGCCAUUGAUACUAUUUGUCUUGAAUACUCUGGAGGUGAGCGGAAUAUGUCAUGUAGCGGUGAAAUGCUUAGAUAUGACAUAGAACACCAAUUGCGAAGGCAGCUCACUACGGAAAUAUUGACGCUGAGGCACGAAAGCGUGGGGAUCAAACAGGAUUAGAUACCCUGGUAGUC